CCUACGGGGGGCAGCAGUGAGGAAUAUUGCACAAUGGGGGAAACCCUGAUGCAGCAACGCCGCGUGAAGGAAGACGGUUUUCGGAUUUUUAACUUCUGUUCUUAGUGAAGAAUAAUGACGGUCGCGAAGCAUCAAGCCACGGCUAACUACGUGCCAGCCGCCGCGGUAAUACGUAGGUGGCAAGCGUUGUCCGGAAUUACUGGGUGUAAAGGGAGCGCAGGUGGGAAGCCAAGUCAGCUGUGAAAACUACGGGCUUAACUUGUAGACUGCGGUUGAAACUGGUUUUCUUGAGUGAAGUAGAGGUAGGCGGAAUUCCGAGUGUAGCGGUGAAAUGCGUAGAUAUUCGGAGGAACACCGGUGGCGAAGGCGGCCAACUGGGCUUUAACUGACGCUGAGGCUCGAAAGUGUGGGGAGCAAACAGGAUUAGAUACCCGGGUAGUC
rnacentral:rRNA from 1 species